UUGCUCCCGGAUGUUAGCGGCGGACGGGUGAGUAACACGUGGGUAACCUGCCUGUAAGACUGGGAUAACUCCGGGAAACCGGAGCUAAUACCGGAUAGUUCCUUGAACCGCAUGGUUCAAGGAUGAAAGACGGUUUCGGCUGUCACUUACAGAUGGACCCGCGGCGCAUUAGCUAGUUGGUGGGGUAAUGGCUCACCAAGGCGACGAUGCGUAGCCGACCUGAGAGGGUGAUCGGCCACACUGGGACUGAGACACGGCCCAGACUCCUACGGGAGGCAGCAGUAGGGAAUCUUCCGCAAUGGACGAAAGUCUGACGGAGCAACGCCGCGUGAGUGAUGAAGGUUUUCGGAUCGUAAAGCUCUGUUGUUAGGGAAGAACAAGUGCGAGAGUAACUGCUCGCACCUUGACGGUACCUAACCAGAAAGCCACGGCUAACUACGUGCCAGCAC
rnacentral:rRNA from 1 species